rnacentral:rRNA from 1 species
UACGUAGGGUGCGAGCGUUGUCCGGAAUUAUUGGGCGUAAAGAGCUCGUAGGCGGUGUGUCGCGUCGGUCGUGAAAACUUGGGGCUUAACUCUGAGCUUGCGGUCGAUACGGGCAUCACUUGAGUUCGGCAGGGGAGACUGGAAUUCCUGGUGUAGCGGUGAAAUGCGCAGAUAUCAGGAGGAACACCGGUGGCGAAGGCGGUCUGCUGGGGUGAUGCUGACACUGAUGCGCGGACAGCGGUGGGGAG